UACAGGGGGUGCUAGCGUUGUUCGGAGUUACUGGGCGUAAAGGGUGUGUAGGCGGUUUUCUAAGUUUGGUGUGAAAUCUCCCGGCUUAACCGGGAGGGUGCGCCGAAAACUGGGAGACUAGAGUGCGGGAUGGGAGAGUAGAAUUCCUGGUGUAGCGGUGAAAUGCGUAGAUAUCAGGAGGAAUACCGGUGGUGCAGACGGCUCUCUGGACCGCAACUGACGCUGAGACACGAAAGCGUGGGUAGCAAACAGG
rnacentral:rRNA from 1 species